rnacentral:lncRNA from 1 species
CACCCACACAAGUUAUCUGCACCCUUAAUAAUGAAUUUUUUACACGAAGAUUCAAUAAGUUUUACACAAGGAUUCAACAAGAAUUUUCUUCUCUGUAAAUCACAUUGGUGGAAAAUGGAAAUCCACCUCCAAAAUAUUACAAAUCACUUGUUCGGAUCUAAAAGGGUAGAUGAGAUGGAAGGCAAAAAAAAAAAAGAACAAUGAAUUAAAAGGUCUACUAUG